GACGAACGCUGGCGGCGUGCUUAACACAUGCAAGUCGAACGGUAAGGCCCUUCGGAGUACACGAGUGGCGAACGGGUGAGUAACACGUGGGUGAUCUGCCCUGCACUUCGGGAUAAGCCUGGGAAACUGGGUCUAAUACCGGAUAGGACCCUGGGAUGCAUGUCCUGGGGUGGAAAGCUUUUGCGGUGUGGGAUGGGCCCGCGGCCUAUCAGCUUGUUGGUGGGGUGAUGGCCUACCAAGGCGACGACGGGUAGCCGGCCUGAGAGGGUGACCGGCCACACUCGGACUGAGAUACGGCCCAGACUCCUACGGGAGGCAGCAGUGGGGAAUAUUGCACAAUGGGCGCAAGCCUGAUGCAGCGAAGCCGCGUGAGGGAUGACGGCCUUCGGGUUGUAAACCUCUUUCAGCACCGACGAAGCGCAAGUGACGGUAGGUGCAGAAGAAGGACCGGCCAACUACGUGCCAGCCGCCGCCGUAA
rnacentral:rRNA from 1 species